CUAAAAUUUGUGCCAGCAGCCGCGGUUAUACGUAGGGCGCGAGCGUUGUCCGGAAUUAUUGGGCGUAAAGGGCUCGUAGGCGGCUUGUCGCGUCUGCUGUGAAAACGCGGGGCUCAACUCCGCGAGUGCAGUAGGUACGGGCAAGCUGGAGUGCGGCAGGGGUAGCUGGAAUUCCUGGUGUAGCGGUGGAAUGCGCAGAUAUCAGGAAGAACACCGAUGGCGAAGGCAGGCCACUGGGCCGUCACUGACGCUGAGGAGCGAAAGCGUGGGGAGCGAACAGG
rnacentral:rRNA from 1 species